GACGAGGUGGACGAGUGGUUAAGGCGAUAGACUGCUAAUCUAUUGUGCUUUUGCACGCGGGGUUCGAAUCCCAUCCCCGUCG